rnacentral:lncRNA from 12 species
UCAGGGGAUGAAUGAUACAGCUGAAAUAAGGCUUUUUAAACUCUGAAGGCUCUUGAGUCUCAAAAGUUUAAGCCCAGAAUAUCCCAGGACAUCAAGUUUAUUUAAAACAUUAGAUUUAGAUCAAUGAAUGGCGACCAAAAUAGUCUUUUGGCACAGAUUUAGUUAAGAAUAUUUGGGCUAGGGGAGAAAAAGUGUAGGAAGGGGACUACUGGAUGUUGGGUGUGUCUAGAAGGACAUCACACAUGCUGUGUUCUCUGACUCUCAGAUAUGACAAUUUCCACCCCGUCCUGUCCCAAGCUAAGUCCUCAAGGUGGGAUGGAUACAUGACUGUACCCCUGGAGAGACAGGAGCGGCCUUGGAGCACAACACACUAUGGCUUGCUUUCAGGAUAGAGCCCAGAGAGGGGAUAAGCCACGUAGAUUUUCCCUCUAUUUAACAUGUGUGGAGUGGGAGAAGUAGAGAUGGCUGCAUGUGUAGACGGGUAGGAUAGCAUCAAGGAUAGCAUUUUUCCACAUCCUGUCUGGCAUAGGGAGAGAUCACAUACUCCCAAUGCUCCCCAGAGUACACACUGUCUUCUGCACGUCUUUAUUUUCCCAUGGGAAGUUGGGAGAGGGGAGGCAGGGGCAGUUAUUUCAGGCGAGGCUGAAAUAACUGAGGCUACCUGCAAUUGACACUGAUUGAAAUUGUUUAGUUAUAAAGGCUGAAGUAAAUUACAUUUCUUGAACGCUUGGCUUUGUUCCACGGGGAGGAGUAUCAGGCAUAAGAGUUCAUUAGAAAUGACAAGAAACAAAAUAACUGGAGACAGUGGGAUAGAGCAACCAGAUGAAUAGGAAGGAAGAUGAUGGAGGCCAGGGAGACUCCCUAAGAUGUUGUGGCAGGACAAUUCCAGCAGGGUAUGCAGGACCUGUGGAUGUCUUACCAUACAAUCCUGACUCAAAGAAACCAGCAGUGAUAAUGGAAUCCAUUUUUCCUGUAUUGGGGAGAAACAUCCUUGCUCUUUUGAAUGCAUAAAUGGAAAGCCUAAAACAAGGACUAUAUGGAAUCAACUGUAAGUAGUUUUGUGAAGAAUUGAGGUAGAACGACAUGAAGGCACAAAAGCAUCUGCUGACCAUCACAAGUGAUGGAAGGAAAGAGACUCCUUGUACCACCAAUGCCAGUGGAAGGCAGGAAUGUCAGCCAGGAGGAAAGUAGCUCUGGUUUAUAGCAGAUAAUCCCCCCUCCCCCCAAAUACAGCUAAACAUGACUUAGAAUGAAUGAAGAAAGAGAUUAUGCUUUUAAUUUUUAAAAUUAGCCACAGGUCUCAAUUGCAUCAUACU